AGAGGCCACGCCCCCCCACGGUUAUUGAGGGGCUGUUGGGGUGUGUGCCAAGAUGGCGGCCAGGCGGGGGACGGGCACCGAACGAGAGCGGCGGCGCUGGGGGUCCCGCGCAUCUCGCCCUCUCCUCCUCAGCCCUGGAGGAGGCGGGCAGCUCCGGCAUCCUCCGCUUCACUGGGGUGCAGCUGCGCGGCAACCCCAGCAGCGACAGCGCGGCAGAAGAUGGGUGCUCGUGGAGAAGAGAAGCUGCCAGGGAUGAGAAGAUCGCUGUUGAAGCAGGGCACACUGCAAACAUGACGUGCUCUUCCGUGCUUGAAGCUGGAUAAAUCUCCCUGCCUCAGCAGGUGGAAAGUGAAACCCAGGCCUGUGGCAAUUCUGGUGGUUAAUCCCCAGGCAGUGCUCCCCACUCCUCAGAAGCACUUUUGGGCUUUGUUCUCUUGGUUUUGGUGAUCUCAGUACCACAUUUACACUGAAGUGUGGUCCAAGAGCCCUGGGGCACCUCAGAAUUGUGCUCAGGUCCAAGAGCCCUGGGGCAGCUCAGAACCCUGCUCCACGUUCAUUGCUGGCGUUUCUUGUCUGGAUGGUUUGGUUUUACAUGAUGCCUUGUGCUCAAAUGCCAUUCCUUACUGCUGCUUUUGGUGAGGACACUCAGUGGGUUGGGACUGGGCCCUGCUUGGAACAGAGAAGGAUGGGAUUGCAAGGAGCUUCCUUCCAAACUGGGAAAACACAAGGACCCUGAUGAGCCAGGCACUGAGACUGUGCCCAGUGCCUGGCAGUCUGCCCUUGUCACAGCUCCAGGGACACAGACUGUUCCUGCAGCCCCUCCCUGUCUGCCUGUCCCUGGGAUCUGUAUUUCCUGAAAAUAAAUGGAAUUUCACCCUUCAAAAGUUUGCUUCACAGUGACAGAGAAAAAGCUUAAUAAAAAUGCCAAGGUCACAUUUUCUUUGCCUCCUAAAAUAAUAUGACAGAUCCAAUAUCUGCAUUAUUAACUAUGAGUGUGAGCUUGUUUUCUUUUUAGGGGCUUUCUAAUUUACCUGGCGCUGUUUUUCUUGUGCUGCACAAGCACAUGGCUGCAGCCACUCCUGAGGGCCUGUGGGCAGCAGCUCUCUGGGACCAGUAGUUAUUUAUUGUCUUGGCUAAAGAUGCCCUCUCACUGCAGAAA